GGGUUUAUCACAUCAUCUUGGCAGUUUGGAGGGUUUCUGUGGGGGCAGGUAAGAAACCAGGAUAAAAGAACGCUGGACAAAUGUGAAGGGAGCUGGGCAGCUGAGAGGAGGCAGCUAGAGAGCGGGAGAAGCCAGAGGAGCCUGGGACAAGAGAACAUGUGAGGAAUGAAGACCAGAGGGGAAGACAGAGAUGAAGCUGAACUCUAUUCCCCUGCCUUUUUGAUCACAGGGAACACAUGUGCUGAGUGAACAUGGACGAAACAGCUGAGUGAGGGAAAGUUUCGAGAGCCUUAAAUCUCAACUCCAAGCGCGUCUUUCAUUAGAUCAUCUUGCGGCGACAAAACAAAGGUGACAAGUUGGAUGUAGUGGCAGGUAUCAAAAUAUAAUGGAACUAAACAAAAGUCUCAGGUAAAAACCACUACACGAUAAGCAAGACCCGGAGGAGGGCUGCCCGGAACUGCGAUCCCUGAAUCUGCACUGAGGGGUUACUAACUGAUCUGCAAAGAAUACUGAGUGCUGACUGCAUAAUGUGCACAAAGGUAUGAGACCCAGUGCAAUGUAAAUCGUGACAGCGUCUCAGGUAAUAUAAGAUCAGAAUAUGUUUACAUAAUUAUAUAAUAUUUGAUUGUUCUAAGAAGACUGUUAUGGACCAGGCCCGGACUGACAAUCUGUGUGUUCGGGCAUUCUCCCGACGGGCCGCUCUAUAUUUUAUUUAAGUGGGCCGCUCCUCACCUUCAACACAGCACUGAUUGCCUCAGGAGCUCUUUGAAUGCAUCCGAUGGGCACUAGGACCGCUCCUCCGUCCUAUCUCCCACGUGGCUCUGCCCCUCCCACUCCUCUCACGCUGCUGCUGCUGCCGUGCUGUGUGAGUGUCCCUGCAGCCCAUCUAUGGAGUACUCUGUGCUUUUAAUAUUGGAACAAGUUUUACAUCUACGUAACGGCAUAGCUGGCAGACGUCACAUCCAAGCGUCCAGAAAGAAACCAUGCAGCAAGCUGAUCGUGGAGGAAACGCUGGUCGGGACCCCAACAGCAUUUGCUGGAAAAGACUUGUAGCAGUACGGAUUUGCACGGAUAAGUGACUAUAUGCCUGGUUUUAACUACUAAAAUGUGAGUGUAACCAAUUGGUUUUUUAGAUAUUUAAUAAAAAGGGUUUUACACUAUUUUUGCGCAUUUUUAACCUCUUCCAGCCUAGAAGAAAUAUCUUGCAACUUUACAUUCUCCAACAAACGUGAUGUGCACUUGUUAAAUUUAAACGUUCGCAGAAUGGUGAUAUUCGAGUCCGUUUUGAGGGAUGUCGGUGCUUCCCUUUCCUGUGAUGUUUGGAUUGAUGGAGGUGGUUUAGCACUGACUAGGGCUGCAGACACUUUCAUGUGAAGAUGUUCAGCCUCAUUUCCUCGUACUUUGUUGUUAUUGAUUGAGGCUUCAUUAGCUGCGAUAAUAUCUACCACAGGGGUGGUUUUUGGAGAUAUUGCAAAGUUUAACCCUUUGGCUAUGACCUCCAACAUUCCAGAGGCUAUAUACUGAAGAAAGAUCCUAUGUACAAGUUAUUUCUGAUUUGAGAAAGCCAGUUGGAUAACUAGUGAAACAUCUUCAAGGAAACAGUGAGUCCAGUUGAUUUGACUUAUUUCUACAGAUAUACCAUGACCUGGAUGGUCACAAACAUAUUGCAACUCAUUUUGGGGGAGAAAACAGCAAGAAAACUGGCAGACUAUAGAAACCACCUGCGCUUAAACCUCCGAUGCUGACAACAUGGGCUAAUACCAUGCGGUAUAUGUCUAGAUUCCACGGUAGAGGGCCACAGCAGAUUCUACAGAAGGAAACCAAGCAGAUUCUACAGAAGACCCAUAAAUUACUGCUGAACAAAUGUUUAAGACAGACCCAUUUUACAGUUGAUGCCUUACAACACAACAUCACUCAGGUAGAACAAAGCUUGGUUACCUACCGCAAUCUGGGAAAGAGCGAGGGGGUUCACAAAACAAGCACAGCUUUGUCAGCAAGGAAAGGAGCAAGGAAAAGGCAACAGAACAAGUUCUCCAUCUUGGUAUCCCGUUCUGGGAAUAACCAAAAAGGAGAAAUUAACCUGGAGGAGAAAAGAAGGAACUGGGACACAGGAAAAUAAAGAAAAGUGGGUAAAGAAUCUGUAUAUUCCAGUGGAUAUAUACUGAGGAAAGAUCCUAUGUACAAGUUAUUCUGAAUUGAGAAGGAAAAAACACAGCGAGUCCAGUUGAUUUGACUUAUUUCUACAGAUACACCAUGGCCUGGAUGAAUGAGAAUCUUCACAAACAUUUUGUUCUGUCUCUUUACAGCUUUUAAAUGGUGUUUAUGGACCCUGACAGCCAAAAAGCUAUUACUAAUGUUUCUGUUCAGGUAUUCAUAUUCCAUGCUUUCAUUCACACCACUGCCUAGUUUAUCAGUAUGAGAAAUAAACCAGAUUAUUGUCAGCAUAUAAAUGGUAUUUAAACCAUAUAAACUGAUUAGUUGACUAAGAGAGGUUUGCAGCAAAUAGUAAGUAGCCAAGGCAUUAAGUAAAAAUCAUAAACCAUUGUAGGAGACACUGAAACAGUAAUUUGAAAGGUAUGUGGAAAAACCAGGACAGGGCAGAGUUCCAAAGGUCAAAAGAAUAUAGAACAGGCAGGGAGGGUGAUCCACUCAUAGAAUGCAAGUGCAAAGUUCUAAGAUUGAUGCAAAAUUGAGCACACAUUGAUGACAUUCAGAAAGGUACUUGCACCCACAUGUACUUCUGAUAACUUGUGACAAUGCCAAUGCAUCAUCCAGCCUGUUCCGAUGAACAAUGCGCAAGUGCAUGUAUUACACUUUAAUGUAAUGCAUUCUCAUAUAUUGUUAUAAUAUGAUGUUAUGUUGACACCCAUUGUGCAAUGAUGUGUCUUUUAAAUGGGUAAAUUGUAUAUUUCAUCAGUAGUAUUUUCAUGUUCUCUUUCAGCUUCCACAUUGCGUCAUUGUUAUGCCUUUUAAAAUAUGCAGUAAUCCCCAAUUGCCUGUUUACACCAUAUAAUCUCAUAAAUUAGUAGUAGCUCACGUUUUACCUGUCUAUUGCCAAAACAACCAUUGUGAUUCUGUGUGGAUGAAAUGCUGUCAAUCUCUGUGUAAAGUUAAUUGAGCAGACAGUUGGCAAGCCCUCCUACAGUAGGACAUGCAAACCAAUUUCUUUUAGGGCUGCUAUCAGAGGAAAAACAGGCAGGGCCCAGACAGGGCCGGAACUAGAGGUAGGCAGAAGAGUCGCCUGCCAAGAGAGAAAGGAUGGGGGGCACUGGGCAGGUGCUUGUUAAAGCAUCCUCUGUCUACCUCUAGUCUGUGUUCACUCACCCCUCCGCUUCUCACCCGUGUCCCUGCGGCCCUGCGAGAUAUCAUUGUGCUGGGUUUUCAUUUUGAGGGGUUGAACUUGAUGGACUUUUACUUUUUUCAACCCGAUUUAACUAUGUAACUAUGUAUACACAAGGUGAAGGGGGGUGGGCGGAGCGAGGUAGCCGGCCCAGUUGCCUAGAACGCCCGGUUGGCCUGGCCUAGACUAUCAUGUAACGGUCAAGAUUUUCUGAUAAGGGGGCAGGGUUUUGAUCCAGAGUUGGAUGUAUGAAGAUCAGGGCAAGACAGAAGCAUGAACAGGCAGUUAUGAGGCCUCACUAUUCCUCAUGCAAACACUGACCACAGUCUUUAGAGCGUGGUUUACCUUUACAUAAAAUUUUAGUAUGAUACAGAAAGUGAUAGUUUGCAAACGUUUUCAAUUUGUUUUGUGUUUUUCAAGUAUCUUUACGGUUGUAUGGUCUUUUGCACAGGGCUCUCUUUUAUCGGUUUUGUUUUUCAUGUAAUAUGUACAGUAUGCACCCAUUAAACAUUGUUUUUUUUAA